AGUUAAUCGGGACUGCUAGAGGAACGAGCACGUGAGCAUCUGUCAUUUUCAAGGUGUUUUCUUUACGUUCGACAUUUACGACCUUAAAUGGCAUCAAAAGUUUCCGGAGAAAAUGAUAGGGAAUCAGCGUUGCGCGUUUCAAUGGAAGAAGAAAAAAAUCGUAAGACGGAUCCUAAGGAGACUCACGAGAGGUCAAUUAUCAUCGUUGGUAGUAAAAGCGUUGGGAAAACUACGAUGAUAAAUCGAUUUCUUGAAAAAGACGAAAAACCGAAGCCAACGAUCGCAAUGGAGUAUUCCUUUGGACGAAAAGCUGGUAAGAGUUUAGUGAAAAACAUAGUCCACGUGUGGGAAAUUGGCUAUGUAGCUUCUUCUUUGAUUUCCGCCGCUAUGAGUGGAUCGGCCUUAACCCAUUCGCCGCAUCACACGGCGCUCUUGAUAAUGCUGGAUUUAUCGAAACCGGAAGUAUUAUGGAUCACCUUCGAGGAGAUAUUAUCGGCUAUACGAAGUGCGUUAAAAAUGAGUUACAAUUCGAAACUCAUUAACGAGAUGAUCGAGUAUAGAACGAGCGAAAGGAAGAGCGUGGAAAAAAUGAUCGAUCUCUUACCCCUUAAAACGUUUAUAAUUGCGGGAAAGUACGAUGAAUAUCAGGAUUUCGACUUAGACAAGAAGGAGAUAAUAGGAAAAACUUUACGAGGAAUUGCUCACAGUUUAGGAGCAGGACUCCAUUAUUAUUCUUGCAAGGAAAAGAUUCUCUUACGGAAAACCAAAGAUUUGUUAUCUCAUAUCGGAUUUGGAGCCGUUCUCGCAGAAGGAAAGUUUACGAGCUACGACAAACCUCUGAUUAUAUCGCCCGGUGCGGAUUCCUUCUCGUCGAUCGACUCGCAAUUGCCUUAUUCGAGACCAUCCAUGAUUUUAGACACCAUUAAGCAGACGUUCGUGCUACGUGUACCGCAAAUAACGAGAAACGACGAGUCUGCUUUAGAAGACCCAAGUAACGAUCCAAACUUCAACGAGCCGAUUAUCGAUAAACUGAAAGUUCAAAGAGAAGAGGUACAUUUAGGAUUUAUCGUAAGACAGGUGAAAUUAGCAUUCUUCUCGACGAUAUGCUGAACAGUCGAACACAACAAAUUCCCAUUCCUGAUCCGGUUUAAAUAGCAUUCGAACGAUCGGUAUGCGUAUAAAUGAGGGUAGUCGGUGAAGAAGGUGCAAUGUCUCGGGGCAGUUUAGGAGUUAAUGGGUCAACGAGAAGAUCGUGAACCGGUCGUGAGCGAGAAGCGGUUCGCGGCGCUCGAAGAUCUUGCAAGGUCUCGUUUGAUAUAUCGAAAGGAGAAAGAGUAAGAAGGAGAAAAGGCGGGGGGGGGGGGAGGGAAUGGAAGAGAAAGAUAAAAAAAUUGCAUGACUCUGUUAAAUCUAACAAUUGAUAAUUGUAUAAAAAUCAUAUGAAAGAAUAAUUUUGUUUUGUAAUUAUAUAUUACUAUGUAGAGAUUUGAACGUCAAUAAGAAACUAGU